AAACUAACAAGGAUUCCCCUAGUAACGGCGAGUGAAGCGGGAAGAGCUCAAAUUUAAAAUCUGUAAGGUUCAACCUUGCCGAGUUGUAGUUUGAAGAAGUGUUUUCCGCGGCGGCUGCAGUACAAAUCCUUUGGAACAGGGUAUCAGAGAGGGUGAGAAUCCCGUCUUUGACUGCAGACUAGUUGCACUGUGAUACACUUUCUAAGAGUCGAGUUGUUUGGGAAUGCAGCUCAAAAUGGGUGGUAAAUUUCAUCUAAAGCUAAAUAUUGGCAAGAGACCGAUAGCGAACAAGUACCGUGAGGGAAAGAUGAAAAGAACUUUGAAAAGAGAGUUAAAUAGUACGUGAAAUUGUUAAAAGGGAAACGCUUGAAGUCAGUGUUGCCGGCGGAAAAUCAGCUUCGUGCGGACGGCUUGUCGCGGUGGAGGGAGUGUCAAAGCCCCUUGCCGCGGCACAGCCGGGCGGAUGGAGUGCACUUUUCAGUCGGCAGGUCAACAUCAAUUUCAGCCGGUGGAAAAAUACAAGUGGAACGUAGGUUGGAGCAAUCCGACUGUUAUAGCCACUCGUGGAUACACCGGCGGGGAUUGAGGACAGCAGUGCAGGCCACUACGGCGGAAGCGCUUCUCUUUUCACAGGGGGGCACACCAAGACAGCAAGCUGACUUGGCGUGUACACCGCUGGGAACGGAGGGGCUGACUUCUCCUGCACUAAGGAUGUUGACGAAAUGGCUUUAAACGAC
rnacentral:rRNA from 1 species